GGGGAUAUAUCUCAGUUGGAAGAGUGCUUGCCUCACAUGCAUAAGGCCUUGGGUUCAAUUCCCAGUACCA
rnacentral:tRNA from 1 species